GACGAACGCUGGCGGCAUGCCUAAUACAUGCAAGUCGAGCGAACAGAUGAAGUGCUUGCACUUCUGACGUUAGCGGCGAACGGGUGAGUAACACGUAAGGAAUCUACCUAUAAGCGGGGGAUAACAUUCGGAAACGGGUGCUAAUACCGCAUAAUAUCUUCUUCCGCAUGGAAGAAGAUUGAAAGACGGCUCUGCUGUCACUUAUAGAUGACCUUGCGGUGCAUUAGUUAGUUGGUGGGGUAAUGGCCUACCAAGACGAUGAUGCAUAGCCGACCUGAGAGGCAGAUCGCCCACAUUCGGACUCACACGGGGCCCAAACUCCUACGGGAGGCAGCAGUAGGGAAUCUUCCGCAAUGGGCGAAAGCCUGACGGAGCAAUGCCGCGUGAGUGAAGAAGGCCUUCGGGUCGUAAAACUCUGUUAUAAGAGAAGAACAAAUUGUAGAGUAACUGCUACAGUCUUGACGGUAUCUUAUCAGAAAGCCACGGCUAACUACGUGCCAGCAGCCGCCGUAA
rnacentral:rRNA from 1 species